rnacentral:rRNA from 1 species
GACGAACGCUGGCGGCGUGCCUAAUACAUGCAAGUUGAGCGCUGAAGGUUGGUACUUGUACCAACUGGAUGAGCAGCGAACGGGUGAGUAUCGCGUGGGGAAUCUGCCUUUGAGCGGGGGACAACAUUUGGAAACGAAUGCUAAUACCGCAUAAAAACUUUAAACACAAGUUUUAAGUUUGAAAGAUGCAAUUGCAUCACUCAAAGAUGAUCCCGCGUUGUAUUAGCUAGUUGGUGAGGUAAAGGCUCACCAAGGCGAUGAUACAUAGCCGACCUGAGAGGGUGAUCGGCCACAUUGGGACUGAGACACGGCCCAAACUCCUACGGGAGGCAGCAGUAGGGAAUCUUCGGCAAUGGACGAAAGUCUGACCGAGCAACGCCGCGUGAGUGAAGAAGGGUUUCGGAUCGUAAAACUCUGUUGGUAGAGAAGAACGUUGGUGAGAGUGGAAAGCUCAUCAAGUGACGGUAACUACCCAGAAAGGGACGGCUAACUACGUG